GAUGAACGCUGGCGGCGUGCCUAAUACAUGCCAGUCGAGCGAACGGACGAGAAGCUUGCUUCUCUGAUGUUAGCGGCGGACGGGUGAGUAACACGUGGAUAACCUACCUAUAAGACUGGGAUAACUUCGGGAAACCGGAGCUAAUACCGGAUAAUAUUUUGAACCGCAUGGUUCAAAAGUGAAAGACGGUCCUGCUGUCACUUAUAGAUGGAUCCGCGCUGCAUUAGCUAGUUGGUAAGGUAACGGCUUACCAAGGCAACGAUGCAUAGCCGACCUGAGAGGGUGAUCGGCCACACUGGAACUGAGACACGGUCCAGACUCCUACGGGAGGCAGCAGUAGGGAAUCUUCCGCAAUGGGCGAAAGCCUGACGGAGCAACGCUGCGUGAGUGAUGAAGGUCUUCGGAUCGUAAAACUCUGUUAUUAGGGAAGAACAUAUGUGUAAGUAACUGUGCACAUCUUGACGGUACCUAAUCAGAAAGCCGCGGCUAACUACGUG
rnacentral:rRNA from 1 species